GGGGUUGUGGCUCAGUGGUAGAGCGCUUGCCUAGCAUGUAUGAUUUGAUUUGGGUUUGAUUCUCAGCACUGCA
rnacentral:tRNA from 1 species